AAUAGGGUAAAAAAUGAAAUGUUGUCCAUUGAAAUAAAAUAAUAACACAAUUAUUGAUUGUGUGUUAUACUUAUUUAUCAAUUCAUUAUGACUGACAAGAUAUUUAUCAACUAUCUACCUACACACAAAAUCAACACAUCCGCAGUGAAUUAACUAUGAUCAACACAUAACUGUCAGCGGUCAACAUUUAUUAUUUUCAACAUUUAUUCGCCAUUUCUAACUAAAUAAUGCGGCAAAUUAAAAAGCCCUAAUGUCAGUACUUGUAGUUUGAAGUGAAAUGAAGUUGUCAUUUAGUCGGUUAACCAAAUCACAGAAUAUUUUCAUAAAAAUUUUUCAACCUCUAGUCUAGUGUAUCGAUAAAUCUCAUACCUAUUAUUCGUUUAGUGAUCAUGACCGAGAUAGCCGAUGCCAAAAAAUGGUUAGAAACCCAUCAUAGAUUUAUACGGUUAGUAAUCGCGAAUCUUUGACACCCGAGUUACAUAAUGGCCCGGCUGUUACCUAUUAUUCGUUUAGUGAUCAUGACCGAGUUAGCCGAUACCAAAAGACGGUUAGAAAUCCAUCAUAGAUUUAUACGGCAAGUAUUCGAGAAUAGUUGACACCCGAGUUAGAUAAUGUGGGUGCAGGCAUAGGCACGUUGAAAUGAAAUCUCAUCAUAAAAAUUGCCAUGCGUAAAAAAUCAAUAUCUACCAUUAAUUUUAUCGCAUUUUAUGAUUAUAAAAGCAGUUCUUUACGAAUCAUUGGGUUUUAUUUUUAUUGAUAAAUAGGUACGAGAAUUUUAUCGAUAUUAUAAUAAAUAAAUGAAAAUUUCAAUAAACCAAUUUAUUCCAACAACUUAUUUUGUGGGAUUUAAAAUCGAUAUUAAUCUUAUCAAGUAUCGAGGAACGACUUUUUUAUUCAACGUUGAAGAAAAAAACCAUGUAUGUGUGUAAGUCUUGUCACUUUUGACAGUUACUAUUUUCUUUUUUCUGUUGAAAACUUUAGCCGAAAUUGUCUGAACUGUUUGAACUGAAAAAGUCUCAAGAAGUUUCUUUUAAGUAUCCAAAGGUGCUUCCCCUUGGUGACGAAAAUGCCGCACCGCCACUGUGACUAAUGCUGAUGCUGUUGCUACAAAUAGUGCUUUGCCCGACGGAAUUGAAAUUAUGUGAACUCCCAGCGCAGAGGCUGAAGCCAAAGGAGACAUGAUGGUUUUGCAGCGCGAGCAGAUACAAUGCGAUAGCAAGAAGGCGGACACCAUGGAAAUGGUAGCUGCAGCAAGAAAUACACAAACUGCUGUAAAUUAGGCCCACAAUGCCAGAUGAAUGGCAUUCAUAGAAGCAGGACUUGAGUUGUGGAAAAAUGUAGAUAGUAUUCCUAAUCGUAAUUCAUUAAUGAAUCCUACUUAAUAUAACAAAAAUAUGUCUUUAAAUGCAUCAACAUGGUACCUAAGUUAUAUACUUUUUUCUAGGCUCUUGAGAAAAAGGAGGAAUAGUUCUAAUUAUGUAAUAACUUGAUUGUUACUGAAUGAUUAUGAGAAUACUCAAAGACUUAUAUGGGAAAUAAGGCUUUUAUCAUUAAUAUUAUUAGUUUUAUUAAAGCUUUGUUGUUUUCCAAGAUGAUUUAGUCAGCAGUGGAUAUCUGACUUUAGAGAACAUAUACUUAGGUAAUUUGGUUAUUCUAGGAAAGAGACUUAAAUAAACAAACUGUGAUUAAUUUGUUGUUUAAAUAAAUAUAAAGUGAAUGUGUA